GUAAAGUUAUCGGACGGGAUCAUUAAUGAUUGGUGGCUGUUGCUGACUAGUGUUUCUAGUAUGUGGCACGCCACACCUUCAAUCCCACUUACACCUGUGCACCUUCUGUAAUAGAUCUAUGUGGAUACGGAGAUGUGAAAGUUUGCACUCUCCUACUCUGUUGAAGCAGGCUCUACUACGUUUUUUUUCACACACACACACAAUAGUCAUUGAAUGUAUUUUUUUUAUUCUUAUUGAUAUAAAACAAUUUCCUUUCAACAACGGAUCUCUCGGCCCUCGCAUCGAUGAAGAACGUAACGUAUUACGAUAUGUAAUGUGAAUUGCAGAAUUCAGUGAAUCGAAUCGAAUCUUUGAACGCACCUUGCGCUCUUUGGUAUUGCGUAAGCAGAAUGCCUGGUUGAGUUGUCAGUGAAUCUCUCAAAUACAAUGAUUUUUAUUUUAUGAUGUGUUGUGAUUGGACUUGGAAGUCUUGUCGGCGCAACUCGACUCUUCUUAAAUGUCAUUAGGUGGGGUUAAUAUGGAUUGGAGCCGUGAUGAGAAAAUUAUCCAUGCAUUGAAUGUCCCUGUAGACUCUGCUUCAAAUCGUCUCCUAGAGACAACAUUUGAAUUGAUCUGACCUCAAAUCAGGUAGGACUAGACUCCGCGCUGAACUAAUCAAAAACUAAGGGAAAAGGAAA
rnacentral:rRNA from 1 species